rnacentral:rRNA from 1 species
GACGAACGCUGGCGGCGUGCUUAACACAUGCAAGUCGAACGGAAAGGCCCUGCUUGCAGGGUGCUCGAGUGGCGAACGGGUGAGUAACACGUGGGUGAUCUGCCCCUUACUUUGGGAUAAGCCUGGGAAACUGGGUCUAAUACUGGAUAGGACCAUGCUGUAGGUGGUGUGGUGGGAAGAUUAGUUUCGGUAAGGGAUGAGCUCGCGGCCUAUCAGCUUGUUGGUGGGGUAAUGGCCUACCAAGGCGUCGACGGGUAGCCGGCCUGAGAGGGUGGACGGCCACAUUGGGACUGAGAUACGGCCCAGACUCCUACGGGAGGCAGCAGUGGGGAAUAUUGCACAAUGGGCGCAAGCCUGAUGCAGCGACGCCGCGUGGGGGAUGACGGCCUUCGGGUUGUAAACUCCUUUCAGCCAUGACGAAGCCCUUGUGGUGACGGUAGUGGUAGAAGAAGCACCGGCUAACUACGUG